rnacentral:rRNA from 1 species
GACGAACGCUGGCGGCGUGCUUAACACAUGCAAGUCGAACGGAAAGGCCCUGCUUUUGUGGGGUGCUCGAGUGGCGAACGGGUGAGUAACACGUGAGUAACCUGCCCUUGACUUGGGGAUAACUUCAGGAAACUGGGGCUAAUACCGGAUAGGAGCUCCUGCUGCAGGGGGGGGGUUGGAAAGUUUCGGCGGUGGGGGAUGGACUCGCGGCUUAUCAGCUUGUUGGUGGGGUAGUGGCUUACCAAGGCUUUGACGGGUAGCCGGCCUGAGAGGGUGACCGGCCACAUUGGGACUGAGAUACGGCCCAGACUCCUACGGGAGGCAGCAGUGGGGAAUAUUGCACAAUGGGCGGAAGCCUGAUGCAGCAACGCCGCGUGCGGGAUGACGGCCUUCGGGUUGUAAACCGCUUUCGCCUGUGACGAAGCGUGAGUGACGGUAAUGGGUAAAGAAGCACCGGCUAACUACGUG